CUCUCGGCUUUCGGCUCGGAGGAGGCCAAGGUGCAACUUUCUUCGGUCGUCCCGAAUCCGGGUUCAUCCGACACCAGCCGCCUCCACCAUGCCGCCGAAGUUCGACCCCAACGAGAUCAAAGUCGGUGCGUGCUCUAGUUGUGGCCGGGGCUGCGGGAUGGAGCAUUCCCUCGGCCCCGCCGCGUGUGCAAAGCUUUCCCCGUAUGGGGCUCUUAAAGCCAAUGCCUCCUAGAGGCCUUCCCGGUGCUGCGCCGCCCCGGCCAAGCCUCAGCCUUUCUGGGCUUUAGCUUCUUCACGUGUAGGUGGGGAGGGAGGACUGGACCACCUGUGGCGGCUUGGGAGCCCGCACGCCCUAGGGUAAGGCUUGUCUCCGGGCGUUUCGCCCCACUGGCCUGGAUUCGCGGGCGACGGGGCUCUCUCCACGCCUCCCCGGUGUGAGUUUCGGAGCUGCCCACACCCGAGGGAGGAGCGGGUGGCCCGCCUCGCCCUCUGUGCUGUUUCGAGAAGAGGCAGAGGGUGGUAUGUCCAGCCCCGGAAAGACGCUGAGAGGGCUGUGGCUCGGGGGCUCCCUCUGCAGAGACACUAACUCUUCUUUUCUCCCAGUAUACCUGAGGUGCACCGGAGGUGAAGUCGGUGCCACUUCUGCCCUGGCCCCCAAGAUCGGCCCCCUGGGUCUGGUACGUUAUCCCCUCCAAGGGGCAUUUUCUCACAUUGGUUUCACUUUUUAAGCGCCGGCCCGUGGAGUCACGACUGUGCCAGAGGUGCUGUCGUGGCUUGGACUGUCACAGUAGGCCUGAGCCACUGAACUAGUACUAGGUACCUUAGGAAGAUCGUGUGUGAAAAAUCGAACCCGGUGCCUUUAAAUUGUAAUUAGCUCCAUGUGUCUCCACUGCUGCUUUGGUGUACCUGAGGGGUGGGCCCAAGGGGGUUUUGAAGUUAGGAGUGGCUUAGUGACUGGGCAGCCAAUAUCUGUAUUUCCUCGUCAGGAAGUGGGCAUGGCAUUGUUGGGAAGAUUAAAUGGGGUGUGGGUGAAGAUCCAGUGAGCGUUUCCAGCUGUGUUGUAGAUGUAAAUCUAGCAGUUAAUGUGACAGGCUGUGUCUCAUGCCUGCUGAGCAACUGCUGGCUUCCGCGUCAUUCUGUCCUCUUGGAUUUUCCUGGAUUUCAUUAGGCCUUUAUUUGAUCCUUGCACAGUGGUCCCCUGCCCCAAAUGCUCUUCCCCAUUGCUCUUUUUAAACCUGUAUCUUAACUAUUCUUCCUUGGCCGUUAGCUGGCACUUAAGGGACACUUAGCCUCCUGUUGAGGCUAAGGAUUACUAGAGAAGAAUUUCAGAGUAGCAAAUAAUCAGACCUCUAUCCAGGCAGAUGGACGUGGGUGGUCUGACAUGGGAGCCUAGUAUUUUGAAAGCUCCUUAGGUGAUUCUAAUGUCAGCAGGGCUGAAAAUCUCCCUCCUUAAGCACAUGGGCACUUAGGAAGGAGUCUAGGUUACAUUGUGGCCAAGUCUGCAGUUUACAGUUCUGGACAAGACAACCCCAACCCCCAAUUUAUGCUAUGGUGAUAGCUGUGCUCUGAUUGAGAAGGUGCCCUUAGGUACUUGAGAUGGCUUCCUUUGUUGCCAAGUGAGAAGUGGUGGGCAGGUUUCAAGGCUGUGGUUCACCUCUGGACACCAUGUUGAUUACAUGCCUUUAUUUCUAGUCUCCAAAAAAGGUUGGUGAUGACAUUGCCAAGGCAACAGGUGACUGGAAGGGCCUGAGGAUUACAGUGAAACUGACCAUUCAGAACAGACAGGCCCAGAUUGAGGUGGUGCCUUCUGCCUCUGCCCUGAUCAUCAAAGCCCUCAAGGAACCACCAAGAGACAGAAAGAAACAGAAAAACAUUAAACACAGUGGGAAUAUCACUUUUGAUGAGAUCGUCAACAUUGCUCGACAGAUGCGGCACCGAUCCUUAGCCAGAGAACUCUCUGGAACCAUUAAAGAGAUCCUGGGGACUGCCCAGUCUGUGGGCUGUAAUGUUGAUGGCCGCCACCCUCAUGACAUCAUAGAUGACAUCAAUAGUGGUGCUGUGGAAUGCCCAGCCGUAAGUGACAUUUUCAUUGUUACAAUAGGGGUGAAAGGGGGGCCACCCAGUGUAUUCACAGAGAUAAGCUGGGAAGUUUUAGAAAUGGUUACUGGUGGGGUGGGAUAAUCCUUUUAAACUUUCUUUUUUACUGAUUUUUUUUUUCUUUCCCACAGAGUUAAGCACAAAGGAAAAUAUUUCAAUAAAGGAUCUUUUGACAACU
rnacentral:sRNA from 1 species